CAAAGUCCACAUGACUGGACCUUUAUUUACUUCACCUUUAGUAUUGAACUACUUAAAUACAAUAGAACUUUGUCCUUGUGAUUUUAAUUGUAGCCCCUAACAAACACUUUUUGAAUAAAGCUUAACAGUUACUAUGCACUCCACAUGCAAUUGAAAUCGACUUUCACUGAAUAUUAACAUUGAAUAGAAUUGACUCUUAACCCCUUUUUGGUUUCCGAAUGAAUGAAUUGGGAAAAUCAACUCUAUGAGCAAAGCAUUUAAUGCAUCUAUUGAAUAUGUAGUGCCUCUUAAUUCUUAUAAGUAGCUAAUAAAUUUGGUGUUGCUACUGUUUUUGAUUCAAUAUAAAUACACAGGAUAAGAAACGAUCUGAUACUAUUCUGUACUCAUAUUUACAUAGAGGCACCAAAUUUUCUAGCAACUCAUAUCCUCCUAAGGCCCAAGGUCCUUCCUAUAGUAAUAAUUAAGUUGGUCAUUCAGACCCAGCUUCUUUAACGACUGUAUAGUCAUAGCGUACCACGGUCCUACCAGUAGGACUUAUUAUAAAAGCCAUAAUUUUGAUUUAAAAUUUCGUGCCAAUCUAAACUGACGUAUACGAUUUUCUAGAGGGGUAUUUUGAGUUUGAAUGUGAACACACUCAUAAGCUUGAAAAAUAAAAACAAAGUGUCAAACUGACAAGUUACAGACGGCGACAUGGGUAUUCCGUGAAGGAGAGGAUUAAAUGACAGAGAAACAUAAUUCGCUCUUAGGGAAUCAGAAAUAGAAACUGAAGAUGAAGAAACAGACUUUUGCGACAUAAAACUCAUAGAAACAAAUUUUGUACAAACAAGAUCCCGGUAUGAUUCCUCUAGUUCCUAUGUCGAUAUUUCUCUGUCAGAACUUAUUUCAAAGCCUAACCACGGCAGAACCCGAUAUUUUGCCGUGCAGCUUCUGGACGUCGUCGAGGAGCGCCUACAAGAGGACGAUCUCAGGCUCGCAGUGGAGUAACGUUCGUCCAAGAAGAGCGUAAAAUCUUAAUUUUUGGGUCUAGUAAACCACUAAAGACUGAUUAAAAGUGAUUAGUGCAUUAUAUUAUUUAAAUAAGACUAUUAUUUUAUUGUAUUCAUUCAAUAAAACUAAAAAAGAAACAAAUC